GACGAACGCUGGCGGCGUGCCUAAUACAUGCAAGUAGAACGCUGAAGAGAGGAGCUUGCUCUUCUUGGAUGAGUUGCGCACGGGUGAGUAACGCGUAGGUAACCUGCCUUGUAGCGGGGGAUAACUAUUGGAAACGAUAGCUAAUACCGCAUAACAAUGGAUGACACAUGUCAUUUAUUUGAAAGGGGCAAUUGCUCCACUACAAGAUGGACCUGCGUUGUAUUAUCUAGUAGGUGAGGUAAUGGCUCACCUAGGCGACGAUACAUAGCCGACCUGAGAGGGUGAUCGGCCACACUGGGACUGAGACACGGCCCAGACUCCUACGGGAGGCAGCAGUAGGGAAUCUUCGGCAAUGGGGGCAACCCUGACCGAGCAACGCCGCGUGAGUGAAGAAGGUUGUCGGAUCGUAAAGCUCUGUUGUAAGUCAAGAACGGGUGUGAGAGUGGAAAGUUCACACUGUGACGGUAGCUUACCAGAAAGGGACGGCUAACUACGUG
rnacentral:rRNA from 1 species